UACGUAAGUGACGCUAGGAAGGGCUUUCUGGUUGCUGAUCCAGACCAGAAGGCCAAGACCCUCUGAACACCAGAUCUGAAGACAGCAAUCAUUGAAAGACAUUUUGAGACCUUUACGACAGUGUGAACUGGACUCCACCAUGCAAAUCAGAACUCUGUGAGCCCUGGAAAGGCGUGCCUGUAACUUGGGAGUUAAGUAUCCCUCCCUCUUCCUAACAACAGCAAACAAUUCUUUUGGAGCAACGACCCGCCUUUCCCUCCGGGUGCGUGACUCUUCAAUUCUCUCAGCGAGUAUAAAAUUCUUCAUAUACAAUGAUAAAACUGAGGUGGCUUCUCCC
ensembl:lincRNA Gm21971 predicted gene 21971